rnacentral:rRNA from 1 species
UACGGAGGGUGCAAGCGUUAUCCGGAUUCACUGGGCUUAAAGGGUGCGUAGGCGGGUUGGUAAGUCCGUGGUGAAAUCUCCGAGCUUAACUCGGAAACUGCCGUGGAUACUAUCAAUCUUGAAUACUGUGGAGGUAAGCGGAAUAUGUCAUGUAGCGGUGAAAUGCUUAGAUAUGACAUAGAACACCAAUUGCGAAGGCAGCUCACUACACGAAUAUUGACACUGGGGCACGAAAGCGUGGGGAUCAAACAGG